UGCACAGUAAUGCAUGCCACAGCUAUGUAUGUGAGCAGAGGAGUAGGGAUAUGAAUUAGGAUCUGAAUACUUGUCAUGAAUAUGAAAGUGACUACAGCUGUGACCUUGACCUUGUGUUCGUUUAUGCGUUUGCAUUCUUCAAAGUCUCUGCUACCUCCUGCAGCAGCUUUGCUAGGACAGAAACAUUAAAAUCUAUCACUUGGAUUCCUUAGCUGUACGACUGCAGUGUAUGUAGGACUUCAAAAUAGAUAAGGCAGACCUCAAUAGAACAGGAGUAAAUUCUUUCCAAAUGGCUCAAAGGCACGAAGCUGCACACUGGGCAAGAAAACAGAGCUGAUGAUAGGACUCCUUCUGGCAGGCUCUGAACAUUUCAAAACUAGACUGUGAUUUAAU
ensembl:lncRNA